GUUCUGGUAGCCCAAAUAACUAAGGCAUCGGUUUUGUAAACCGAAGAUCGAGGGUGAAAACCCCUCCCAGAACU
rnacentral:tRNA from 1 species